rnacentral:ncRNA from 1 species
AGCGAACUCGCGGGAGCCCGGCGGACCGGGCUGAGAGGGCGGCUGGAGGCCGCCGACCGUAGAACCUGAUCCGGGUCAUGCCGGCGAAGGGAGGAGCGGUAGUUCCAUG